rnacentral:rRNA from 1 species
UACGUAGGGUGCGAGCGUUAAUCGGAAUUACUGGGCGUAAAGUGUGCGCAGGCGGCUUCGCAAGUCGAGUGUGAAAGCCCUGGGCUCAACCCAGGAAGUGCACUCGAUACUGCGAGGCUAGAGUAUCGGAGAGGUUGGUGGAAUUCUCGGUGUAGAGGUGAAAUUCGUAGAUAUCGAGAGGAACACCGGUGGCGAAGGCGGCCAACUGGACGAAUACUGACGCUGAGACUCGAAAGCGUGGGGAGCAAACAGG